AUAAAAUUAGUUAAAUUAAUAACAUAGGCUUGUCAAGCCUAAAUUAUCCUUUAGAUAUUUUUUA
rnacentral:tRNA from 1 species